AGGUGCGAUCAUACCAGCACUAAUGCACCGGAUCCCAUCAGAACUCCGCAGUUAAGCGUGCUUGGGGGAGAGUAGUACUAGGAUGGGUGACCUCCUGGGAAGUCCUCGUGUUGCACCUC
rfam:Lupinus angustifolius cultivar Tanjil chromosome LG02, whole genome shotgun sequence.